rnacentral:rRNA from 1 species
AGCAUAUCAAUAAGCGGAGGAAAAGAAACUAACAAGGAUUCCCCUAGUAACUGCGAGUGAAGCGGGAAAAGCUCAAAUUUAAAAUCUGGCGGUCUUUGGCCGUCCGAGUUGUAGUCUGGAGAAGUGCUUUCCGCGCUGGACCGUGUAUAAGUCUCUUGGAACAGAGCGUCAUAGAGGGUGAGAAUCCCGUCUUUGACACGGACUACCAGUGCUUUGUGAUGCGCUCUCAAAGAGUCGAGUUGUUUGGGAAUGCAGCUCAAAAUGGGUGGUAAAUUCCAUCUAAAGCUAAAUAUUGGCGAGAGACCGAUAGCGAACAAGUACCGUGAGGGAAAGAUGAAAAGCACUUUGGAAAGAGAGUUAAACAGUACGUGAAAUUGCUGAAAGGGAAACGCUUGAAGUCAGUCGCGUCUGCCGGAACUCAGCCUUGCUUUCGCUUGGUGCACUUUCCGGUUGACGGGCCAGCAUCGAUUUUGACCGACGGAAAAGGGCUAGGGAAAUGUGGCACCCUCGGGUGUGUUAUAGUCUCUNGUCGCAUACGCCGGUUGGGAUCGAGGAUCGCAGCGCGCCGCAAGGCAGGGGUUCGCCCACUUUCGCGCUUAGGAUGCUGGCAUAAUGGCUUUAAACGACCCGUCUUGAAACACGGACCAAGGAGUCUAACAUGCCUGCGAGUGUUUGGGUGGAAAACCCGAGCGCGUAAUGAAAGUGAAAGUUGAGACCUCUGUCGUGGAGGGCAUCGACGCCCGGACCUGACGUUCUCUGACGGAUCCGCGGUAGAGCAUGUAUGUUGGGACCCGAAAGAUGGUGAACUAUGCCUGAAUAGGGUGAAGCCAGAGGAAACUCUGGUGGAGGCUCGUAGCGAUUCUGACGUGCAAAUCGAUCGUCAAAUUUGGGUAUAGGGGCGAAAGACUAAUCGAACCAUCUAGUAGCUGGUUCCUGCCGA